rnacentral:tRNA from 1 species
GAUUUAACGUUUUGGAAACACUUGAUUUUGAAAAUCAUUAAUAAAUGUUCAAUUCAUUUUUAAAUCU